GAAAACUGUGAUGAUUCUGAUACGUAACGGGUCAAAAUGGAUAAUAUCUUAUAGUGGUUGUUUUGGGCUGUUAGAAUUGGUAUCCAAGUUAGGUACGGGACAGUGUGACAGCAAGGACUCUGGCCCCCAAUAAGAAAAAUUGUCUCAUUCUUCUUUCAGUGUCUUGUUCGACAUGAGGAUUCUAUUAACAUGGCUACAUAGUAGAUUAAGAGCAUGGUUUUGCUUUGGGGUUCUCCAAAAGGCCUCGUAUCAAUGGAGAUGUAUUCUUUACUUAUAAACCCAUAAUCAUUCCUUAAAUGAAUUAGUGAGCGUGGAUUCCUCCACAAUCCUCAACACUCCUUCUACGUCAAACUUUUUAACUGUUCAAGGCGAAGAAGGAAUCAUAGAAAGCUCAGCUAGCGUGAUCCAUGGUUCUUGGUGAUCCAGUAAGUUGAUAACUGUCAAGACUAACAGCAUAUAUCUUCCUCUGGUAACUUCAAGGCGAGGAAGGAAUCCUUAAAGAGCUGCAGCUAGCUGGAUUUCAUGGGUUUUGGCGAUCCAGUACUCUCCUCAAAUACAAUUUCAAGAUUAGGUUGAUGGUGCAAAAGAAGUAGAUGAAAGGCUUCAGGGUGGGCUUAUGAGUGGAGCCCCUGAACGUAAGGGCUCAAGCAACCCAAACAUGUAUACGAAGAAAGGAGUGCUUAAGCAGUCGGAUGCCAAAGCUUUCAAUUUGAUUGGUUCAAAGCCACUGGGACUCAUUAUGUAUAGUUCAGAAGACACUUCCAGUAGGUAUUAAAAAUAUAAGUCACAAGGUAAGAAUUAUUGAAUUAAGAUUACUGUGGGUCCUACGUGGACUGGGGAGGAGAAUAAACCACCAUUUAUAAGGGU